GACGAACGCUGGCGGCGUGCUUAACACAUGCAAGUCGACCGAAGUGGCGAACGGGUGAGUAAUACGUGAGUAACCUGCCCUUCAGAGGGGGACAACAGUUGGAAACGACUGCUAAUACCGCAUACUGAAGGAGGGGAUUGCGUCUUAUUAGCUAGUUGGAGGGGUAACGGCCUACCAAGGCGGUGACGGGUAGCCGGCCUGAGAGGGUGACCGGCCACAUUGGGACGGAGAGACGGCACAGACUCCUACGGGAGGCAGCAGUGGGGGAUAUUGCACAAUGGGCGAAAGCCUGAUCCAGCCAUGCCGCGUGUGUGAAGAAGGUCUUCGGAUUGUAAAGCACUUUAAGUUGGGAGGCGUUACCAACAGAAUAAGCACCGGCUAACUUCGUGCCAGCCGCCGCGGUAAUAC
rnacentral:rRNA from 1 species